CACAGUGAUCUUGUAACUUUUGAAAAUACAGGAGUCUCCCCUUCUCCAUGGUUUCUCUUCCCGUGGUUUGUUACCCUUGGUCAACCAUGGUCUGAAAAUAGGAAAACACUUAAUUGAGGACAAAUGCUCUACAAUAAUAUCCCCUUAUCUUCAAGGAAUACUUUUAAAGACCACCAAUGGAUGCCUGAGGCUGAGCAUGAAGAAUUUUGAAGUUGAAACUUCACCAGAGUUGUGCCUUAGGUGGAGAAAUGGAAAACUAUAGAAGUAAAACCCAGAACGUUAAAAGAAGAAAGAUGCACGAGUUAUAUGAAUCUGCAAACAUAUUCAACUUUACUAUUAAUCAACAAGUAAAAACAAAAUUUCAAAUUUCUGCCCAUUAAGUUGGUGGGUAAAUUUUCUGCUUUAUUUUUGUCAAUACUUAAUCCUUGCCACCAUGCAGUGAGAGAGAUCUCAUCCAUAGUUAGUGGAUGCAAAAUUUGGUGAAAUCUUCCUGUCAAGCUCUUUGAAAAUGUGUAUGGAAUGUCUACAAGUGUUUGUAGGGCUUGAACCACAAUUACCAUACCUGAGAAUCCAUCUUAAACAUAUACAGUUUGAAGACAGCAGUAUGGACUCCUGAGUUAGUUUUCUAUUGGACAACAUCAAACUUGACCUAAAGGCCAUUUUAUGCUAUUAUUAAUGCAUUUGUUAAUAAAAUAGUUUGCUAUUAGUUAAGAAUAUGUUUUUAAGGAAUAUUUAAAAUAACAGUAAAAUGCCAAUAAUAAAA